AAACCUGUGGCAUUUUUCCCAAGGAAUUAACCAGCUCUUAAGAUGCUACAUGCAAAAUAACUCAUCUCUGAGUACAGCUGGGAGACAUCUGAGCAUUGGCAGAGAUGGGCAUUGUGCAGUGUCCAGCAGCCCAGUCAAGUAUGGAAUCACAGACCCACAGAAUAUGCUCAAUUGGAAGGGAGCCACAAGGAUCAUUAGAGCCAGCUCCUGGCCCUGCAAAGUCACACCGUUUGCCCAAGGGUAUUGUCCAAAAGCUUCUGGAAUUCUGUCAGACUGGUGCUGUGACCACUUCCCUGGGGAGGCUGUUUCAGUGCCCAACCACCUUCUGCCAUCUCUGGAGGUAGUCACUCAAGUAAACUGCUUAGACACACCAUGUGUGAAUACCUGGAGUCUAUUUUUCUUUAAUGAACUGAGUCUAACGUGAAGAGAGCCUUGCAGAUAAAUUUCCUGCUGUCAGUAGAACAUCAGAGAAGAUUAAUAAGAGAUGAAAGAAUAACUCCUCCUCACAAGAAACAGCAGAUGUAAUUUGGUGCUUGCAGCAAGAAGAUGUGACUGACAGAAGAUGCACUCAUAUCUACAGAGUGAUUCCAUCACCCUGACACCUAGCAUGCUCCUCAUUCACAAUGGGUUUGAUAUCU